rnacentral:rRNA from 1 species
GGAUGAAAGCGGGGGAUCGCAAGACCUCGUGCUCAUAGAGCGGCCGAUAUCUGAUUAGCUAGUUGGUGAGGUAAAGGCUCACCAAGGCUUCGAUCAGUAGCUGGUCUGAGAGGACGACCAGCCACACUGGGACUGAGACACGGCCCAGACUCCUACGGGAGGCAGCAGUGGGGAAUUUUGGACAAUGGGGGCAACCCUGAUCCAGCAAUGCCGCGUGAGUGAAGAAGGCCUUCGGGUUGUAAAGCUCUUUUGUCAGGGAAGAAACGGGAUUUUCUAAUACAGAGUCCUAAUGACGGUACCUGAAGAAUAAGCACCGGCUAACUACGUGCCAGCAGCCGCGGUAAUACGUAGGGUGCAAGCGUUAAUCGGAAUUACUGGGCGUAAAGCGUGCGCAGGCGGUUAUGUAAGACAGGUGUGAAAUCCCCGGGCUUAACCUGGGAAUGGCAUUUGUGACUGCAUAGCUAGAGUGUGUCAGAGGGGGGUAGAAUUCCACGUGUAGCAGUGAAAUGCGUAGAGAUGUGGAGGAAUACCGAUGGCGAAGGCAGCCCCCUGGGAUAACACUGACGCUCAUGC